CCUACGGGGUGCAGCAGUGGGGGAUAUUGCACAAUGGGGGGAACCCUGAUGCAGCGACGCCGCGUGGGUGAAGAAGCGCCUCGGCGCGUAAAGCCCUGUCAGCAGGGAAGAAAAUGACGGUACCUGAAGAAGAAGCCCCGGCUAACUACGUGCCAGCAGUCGCGGUAAUACGUAGGGGGCAAGCGUUAUCCGGAUUUACUGGGUGUAAAGGGGGCGCAGACGGCGAUGCAAGCCAGGAGUGAAAGCCCGGGGCUCAACCCCGGCGAGCCGUUGAAACUGGCUGUCUUGAGAUGUCGAGAGGUAUGCGGAAUGCGCAGUGUAGCGGUGAAAUGCUUAGAUAUUGCGCAGAACUCCGAUUGCGAAGGCAGCAUACCGGCGGCGAUCUGACGCUGAGGCACGAAAGCGUGGGUAUCGAACAGGAUUAGAUACCCGGGUAGUC
rnacentral:rRNA from 1 species